UCGCUGUAGCGUGGAUUGUAGUUGAUGAAAGAAAAGCCGCGUGACUGGUCAAUCGUGUGGAACAGCGGGUUCCAGUCGAACAUGGCCAACAUGAAGCCCGGUAAGGUAUUGGCCACGAACAUCUUGCCCGAAGCGAUCAUAUUGGCGCGCUG
rnacentral:ncRNA from 1 species